AUAAAUAUACAACAAGUUACAAUAUAAACAAUUUUUCAGAAAAUAUACUAGACGACUAAGAGAGCGAUGCUUGCUUGUUCAAACAGUUCGUUUAAAUCAUUUAUUCCCAAAACCAAGGUUGGUUUUGUUGUAAUCCCAAGUAUUCAAGCUUAUUGCUUACAUUAUGGAAUCACAAUAGAACAUGAAUAAAGAAACUCUUCUGAGAUUCAGGGAAAAGCUCAGUGCCAAAACAUCUCCCUCAAAGGCCAAACUUCUACCUUGUUCCCCUUUAAAUGGUUAAUUCUCAUCGGGACCAAAUAGCACAAAGAGACAACAAUCAUCAAGCUAAAGAAGAUGUGGAGUCCAAUCAAUGUUUAAUCCUUUUUCGCCCCCAAAAAUCCAAGAGUCCAAAUAGUGCAUAAUCGAACCAAACCAAACCAAACCGAACCAAACCAAAGCCUUGCCUCAGAACAAUAAUUGCAGGAGGACAAGUACAUAUACUGUCCAGGAUCUCCACUCCCAUAGUAUCAGUAGAUCAAGUAAUUUUUGAAGGCAGAUGGUUUCUCCUUGUGUAUGUUGCAUGAAGAGCCGAUCAAAAACAAUAUGUAUUGCGUGAAGAUGCAAACUACUGAUGCAAAUUGGAAUGACAAUAAACUCUGCAGGCAAAUAAAAAAAUACAAAGAGAAGGAAAAAGCUUAACCAACUGCAACGGCAUAAUAAUGAUCACGGGAGGACAAGAGAACGAGGUUCCAAAGGAAAUAAUAGUGCAGCUAUAGCCCAUAAUGAGGUCAUGAGUACUAUAUAGAACAAAAGCCAAACCAUUCCCAUCAUAUUAUGGUAUACAAAAAAGUCAACUCUGGCAUCGGCAAAAUUGAGGCAACAAAUUACAUCAAAGAAAGAGGAAGAUACGGGCGCGCGCACACCCACAUUUAUAUCAGAGGGUAUUUUCCACAUGUAAGGAAAAAAAAACGUUAAGAGAAAUAAUAAAGUACAGCCAAGAGGGAGAGAAGGAAAGAUACACUGCAUUAUUCAGAAUGCACUUGAACUGUAGCUAUAUUACCAACAUGUAAAUUGAUGCCUUCCAUCGAACUGCUGAUCCAUAGUAAAUUGCACCAUUAAAAGUAAAUCAAGAAAUAAUCCACAAAUUGUUUACCUAGAGAGCCCAACAAACUCACAGAAUUUGAAUGGCUAAAUCAAAGUGCCACUGACCACAAUGAGAAACUAAACCAAACGGCCAGAGUUAAAAUACAUAUUGAUCAAGGAAGAAAGAACAAAAUACAACUGAAAGGUAGAAAAAAGGCACCUAAGACUAAAAGAUGAAAUAGUUUAGCAUGUAACGUAAAGUACCUUUCUCACAUCAUAUUUGUGAAAGGUGAACCUUAGUAGUAUAUGAUAGCUUGGGGGAACUAUGAACUCAAAACUGCAUCGUCAGAUCAUUACCUCCCAAAACAGGACACGAAUCACCAACAUAAAGUCGAUGAAAGGAACUCCCACCACCACAAUCAGGUGGCCCAAUGGCAGCUAGGAACUCCAGCAUCAUGGCUUGUGGAUCUUGAAGCCAAACACUCUUGGAACAUAACUUUGAGACACCCUUUGUGGCUUGAGGUGCCC